CCGUUCAAGGCUUUUCUGUAGUUUUCUAUGCGUAUGAUCUUGACCAAUCACUUGAACACUAUCUUUCUUUUCCAUUGGGAAAAUGGCAUUCUCCUGAAAUGCAUUGUUUGAAAGGUGGCAUGCACAGUUUGCCAAAAGCGUUUUUCAAUAGUGGAAUAUUAAAUACAGAUGACAUAGAAUACAAGAAGCAAGUAUAUGAAAUAAAUUACUGGUUUAAAGAUGAUUGCCCGCUCAACGAUUUUGUAGAGGUGUCUUGUUAUUCAAAUAGUGGUGCAUCAAUUGUUUAUAAAGGAAAGGCCGUAAUUGUUGCCACACCAACUAAUAUUUUGCGCCAAAUCACUUUCAAAUCAAAGCUUAACAAUAAUAAGUCCCAGUUGGCGACAAGAAAAAAACCUUCAAGCUAUGAACCAUAUUCUUACCUUGCAUUCAUCAAAAAUCUUUCUUCAAACCAAAACAAGAUUCUGGGAAGAUGAAGGAAUCAAAGGUGGGUUUUCAAUUACAAACCUUCCCAUAGGUCAGGUUCAUUACGUCACCCCGGAAGACCCCUGCACAAAAGAAGGGCUUGUAAUGAUUUACGUAUGGACGAAGGAGGCUUUGCUUUUUGGCUCCAUGGAAGAAGAGCAAGUAAAACGAAAAGUAGUGGAACAACUCGCAGAAAUUCAUCCAACAUUAAAAGAAGAACUUGUAUCAAACUGUAUAAUUCAUCAUUGGUAUAGGCUGCCAUCUUAUCAAGGCGCGUGUGGAGCAAUGAAAACUGCUCAAUACGGCAACAUCAGGUAUUUAUGGGAGCCUAUGGGAAACGUUCAUUUCGCUGGUGAAGGAAUUUCCUUU